rnacentral:snRNA from 1 species
UCUGUUCUAAUCAGUGUGAAAACUGGUUUCGCCUUUUGGCGGACUUUUUCACUCGCAUUUUUGGGCAAUCGUCUGCGGCUAGCUUGCUAGCGGCGGACGAGCGGUCUCCGGGGGCGUUCACCUUUCCCCCGCGAGGCCA